rnacentral:rRNA from 1 species
CGGUGGAGCAUGUGGUUUAAUUCGAAGCAACGCGAAGAACCUUACCAGGCCUUGACAUGCUAGGGAACCCGGUGAAAGCCUGGGGUGCCCCGCGAGGGAGCCCUAGCACAGGUGCUGCAUGGCCGUCGUCAGCUCGUGCCGUGAGGUGUUGGGUUAAGUCCCGCAACGAGCGCAACCCUUGUCCUUAGUUACCAGCACGUAAUGGUGGGCACUCUAAGGAGACUGCCGGUGACAAACCGGAGGAAGGUGGGAUGACGUCAAGUCAUCAUGGCCCUUACGGCCAGGGCUACACACGUGCUACAAUGGUCGGUACAGAGGGUUGCCAAGCCGCGAGGUGGAGCUAAUCUCACAAAACCGAUCGUAGUCCGGAUCGCAGUCUGCAACUCGACUGCGUGAAGUCGGAAUCGCUAGUAAUCGCGGAUCAGCAUGUCGCGGUGAAUACGUUCCCGGGUCUU